ACAAAACAAUUGAAUAUUUUUAAAAUGUGCUUAGAACACAAAAGUUAGUUGUGACUUGAGUCUUCAAGUGUGUGUCCAUCCACCUGAGUGGAAACACCAGAACAUUUUUUUGGUUGGCUGAGCUGGAAAAGUUGGUGUUUUGAGGCAAAGAAAGAUGCGAUUGAGUUGACCUCAUGCUGGUGUUCAAGCAGCACCGCUUGUUCUCUUCUUGUGUGGUGAGUUUUUGCUCGCUCAUUCCUCUCCGGUGUGACUGAGAUGCCGGCCUCUACUUAUGUAGACACUUGUCAGACGUAAUAAUGUCUUACUGCUCAUGUCUCUUUCUCCAUCUGCUUGCUUUUCAGUGAUGUCACCAUGUUCACUGGUUUCAACCAUCAACAAGUAAAAUGUUUACAGGACAAAGGUAACAAAAGUACAAAAAUGAGAUCAGAGAUAAGUUGUACUAAAGCACGACAAGCCUUGAAAAUUGGUUUCUCAAGCUCAGAAUAUGUAUUUUACAGACAAUAUGUGGUUUGGUGGCAGAAGAGGACCAUGAUUCACUUGCUGUGAGAAGCAACAGCAGCAGCUUUCUGUGCACAGCUGCACAAAGAAGAUGAGCACAAACGUCAGUCUGGAGCUGAUGAUCCAAUUCUGUGUAACACAACACUUAAAACUGUAUUUCAUGACCGGAGCCACGUAUGUACCUAUUUGAAGAUGCUGCAGGAUCCCUGAAAGGUGUCAUGUGACUGUUUGUCUGGUGCCCUGCCCCUACCAGGUGUGCCUCGCUCUUCUGACAUUGUGUGAACAGUAAAAUCAGCAGGCGCUGAAGGCAUCAGCCACGAGUAUUUAAGUGUGGAGAAGAUGUGACUGAUAUUCAGACCGGGGAAAGACGAGGAACCGCAAUCGCACCUCUGUGUCCAUUCCAGCUGUAGAGCGCUGAGAGAAUCACCCCUGAGCCAUGCGUCCUCUCGUGGUUUCUGCCAUCUUACUUCUGGUGGCUCUGAUGCACAUGGCGGAGGCUAACGUUGCUACAAUUUCUAGAAUCUGUAACAGCAAGUAUCCAGACGUAAAAUGCAAUGUGAAAGACUGGUACAGGCUGGAUAACAAGCGAUGCAUGAAGAUCUACGUAGAACGCCUGACCUUUUCUGAUGCAGAGAAACGUUGUAAGGCAGACGGUGGGCAACUGGUGUCAAUACACAACCUUGACAACUAUGACAAAGUGCUGUGUAACAUGUUCAGGUUUGCUAUUAGGAAACAGGUUUUCUGGAUUGGAGCCAGGAGAGGUGGGGUGAGUCCUGAAUUCCUCUGUACAUACAUAAGGAAGAUGAGUGAGUGGAGAGCUGAUGGAUGGAUGAAUCAAAUACUGCGAUGACUGACAGAAAGAAAAAUGCUGUUUCUUCUUCCCAUUUGACUGACCUUUUCUUUCUAGCAUGGAUUUUAUUGGGUUGAUGGAAGUGGACGCAUGGGGUUCAGCAGAUGGGCGAGAUGGCAACCAGACAACUGGUUUAACAGGGAGCACUGUGUCGAGAUGAAUUACGGGAGUUGGGGACGUUGGAACGAUGAAAACUGCAAUUCCAAGAGGCCCUUUAUGUGUGCCAAAAACAUGUGAUCAUCAUCAGUAAUGUUUGAUUGACAAGAUGAUCUUUUAAAAUGUGCUGCAGCUGGGCUUGUUUCAUGGUAACCACUGCAAACAUGCAGCAAGUUUUAAGCAUUAUGAAAAAAGAACAAAAAAAUGACUCCAAUAAACUAUCAGCAUCAGAAAACACA